rnacentral:rRNA from 1 species
GUGGGGAAUAUUGGACAAUGGGCGAAAGCCUGAUCCAGCCAUGCCGCGUGUGUGAAGAAGGUCUUCGGAUUGUAAAGCACUUUAAGUUGGGAGGAAGGGCAGUAAGUUAAUACCUUGCUGUUUUGACGUUACCGACAGAAUAAGCACCGGCUAACUUCGUGCCAGCAGCCGCGGUAAUACGAAGGGUGCAAGCGUUAAUCGGAAUUACUGGGCGUAAAGCGCGCGUAGGUGGUUUUGUAAGUUGGAGGUGAAAUCCCCGGGCUCAACCUGGGAACUGCCUCCAAAACUGCAUGACUAGAGUACGGUAGAGGGUAGUGGAAUUUCCUGUGUAGCGGUGAAAUGCGUAGAUAUAGGAAGGAACACCAGUGGCGAAGGCGACUACCUGGACUGAUACUGACACUGAGGUGCGAAAGCGUGGGGAGCAAACAGGAUUAGAAACCUAGUAGUCC